UACGUAGGGUGCAAGCGUUGUCCGGAAUUAUUGGGCGUAAAGAGCUCGUAGGCGGUCUGUCGCGUCUGCUGUGAAAACUCGGGGCUUAACCCCGGGCCUGCAGUGGGCACGGGCAGACUAGAGUGCGGUAGGGGAGACUGGAAUUCCUGGUGUAGCGGUGAAAUGCGCAGAUAUCAGGAGGAACACCCGUGGCGAAGGCGGCUCUCUGGGACGGUACUGACGCUGAGACGCGAAAGCGUGGGGAGCGAACAGG
rnacentral:rRNA from 1 species